rnacentral:tRNA from 1 species
GUCCAGGGAUGGAAAUCGAACCCACUGUAUUCCGCUUACCGGGCAGAUGCCAUGUCCACUAGGCUACCCUGGA